rnacentral:rRNA from 1 species
GACGAACGCUGGCGGCGUGCUUAACACAUGCAAGUCGAACGGAAAGGCCCUGCUUUUGUGGGGUGCUCGAGUGGCGAACGGGUGAGUAACACGUGAGUAACCUGCCCUUGCCUUUGGGAUAACUUCAGGAAACUGGGGCUACUACCGGAUAGGAGCUCCUGCUGCAUGGUGGGGGUUGGAAAGUUUCGGCGGUUGGGGUUGGACUCGCGGCUUAUCAGCUUGUUGGUGGGGUAGUGGCUUACCCAGGCUUCGACGGGUCUCCGGCCUGAGAGGGUGAACGGGCACAUGGGUGCUGAGGUACAGCCCAGACUCCUACGGGAGGCAGCAGUAGGGAAUAUUGCGCAAUGGGCGGAAGCCUGAUGUAGCAACGCCGCGUUCGGGAUGACGGCCUUCGGGUUGUAAACCGCUUUCGCCUGUGACGAAGCGUGGGUGACGGUAAUGGGUAAAGAAGCACCGGCUAACUACGUG